UUUCUAUUGCAUGUACCCAAAAUCAAGGCGGAAAGAAAGGAAAAGAAGAGUGUCGCUAAGCAAUAAAAAUUGUGGACCAAGAGGGUUAAGGAAGGAAGAUCAAAUCAACUGAAGAUUAGGAGGAUACUUAAAGAAGGAUGGUUCACUUAGCAAAAGAUCCAAUUUAAGCAGAAAAUCUACUUGAAUCACCAUGAAUCACCAAUCAAGCGCAAAGGAAAUCCAUAUCAAGUACAAUAUCCGCCCAACCAGUCUUUCACAUCAUCUAAGGAAACCCAACUAUUAUAUCGAGAAUCAAAGAAUAGAUAUCGAAAAGCUACAUCCUUAUUCCUGGAAGGAAUUGUCACUUAAGAUUCAUUCCAAAUAUUAACUCUUUUGAGUUGCCUAUCUCUCAAGAUCUAUAUCAAUCAAGGCUCAAACCAGACCAUCCCUCAAUUGUAUAUAUAGGCGGAAGCAAAGAAGAAGAAGAAAAAGGAUAUACUUUCGUCUGACCAACUUCAAGCUCUUUGAUCUACUCUAAACAAUCAUUAUAAUCUCUAUUAAAUUUAUUGUAUAACUAAUUGAGAGAAGAGAUAGAGAAAAAUGGCGAAGCAAUUGAAUCAAAAUAAUUGAGAGUUUACUUAAUUUUAGAAAGCAGUUGGUGUGUUUUCAACUCAUUUACACAAGUGUAAGAAUUUCAAGGAGCUUGGAAGAGAAAACCCUCUUGGAACCCAAGGGAACUAGAUUAGGAUUCACAUCGAAUCCGAACCAAUAUAAACGUAUCACAUGUCAUUUAAUUUUCAGCACUUUUACAUUAUG
rnacentral:lncRNA from 1 species